rnacentral:lncRNA from 1 species
ACACAAAUUAACUUUAGGGUUUAUCAAGAUUUAUUCUGUAUCCCCAAAAGGAUCAGAAUUUAAAAUAUAAAUGAGGAAAAACUGAAUAUGAGCCUGCACAAGACCAGAGAGCCUAUAGAUAUGCAAAUACCAUCUGGUGAGAACAAGUGUGUCUUGGGCUCCACAGAUAGUGUCCGGGGGUCAAUUACUUAACUUCAUGCUUCAAAUGUAAAAUAGGAAUAAUAAUAAUAGCACCUAUCUUAGGGUUGUGACAAUUAAACACACAUGUAGGACACUCAGCAUGGUACCAGCCAAUAAAUAUUAUCUAUUACUUUAUCAUUGGACUCAAAAGAAUGAGACCAUGAUCAGUGAGUCAUAAAGCCAAAAGUAUGGCAACCAAUAAUCGAUUGCUACCUCCCAGCCCUUUUAAGGCAAUAAAAAGACUCACGCAUCCUUCAAAGAAUAAAAAUAUACAAUAAGAAUAAAAAUCUUUCAAGUCACUGCAGAUAAUGGGUGUUUUACCCAUUGUGUACUCUACUCUGAUGCUGUCCUUUUGUGGCUUGCAGGAUUUGGAGCAAUAGUUCAGCUAAAAGCAAAGGGUUGUAUGAAUUUGCAGUUCUGGAAGAUGCUUCCAGCAGGUGCAUCUUCAUCCUGAGAAGAUUUAGUCAGGGCUCGGUUGCCUAGAUGGUUAACACCUGGUGGUUUUUAUAGCACAAGCUCAACUAAGAGUAAUGGCAAAGGAGAAGGCCGGGCAUAGGCAGAUGUCUUACACUCUGGGCGUGAGUAAACGCUGCGUGCUCCAGCUGCACUUCACACAUGCAAGGAUUACACACACCGCAGCGACCGUGCCCCAGUCCUGGCAGAAUUUCAAGACACUCGGAGCUUGAAUGCCCCCCGAGAGACCUGUUGAGAAACCAAAAGAAAGUAAAAAUUAAAAAAAAAAUAUUUCAGUUGAUGCUCAUGUUUCCCUACCACUUUCCUCCUUUUUGAAUCUUUAAAAAAUAUCUUGUAUACAUAAAUUGAAAUUCCAUUUCUAAUUUUAUUUCACUCUCUUGUGAAAGCAGCAAUUACAAUAUUUGUAAUGAACAGACAUAUUCUGGCAUUUAAAAUAUAAAAUCAAAGUGGAAAAAUAUUAGAGAUACUGAUAUUUAGAUCAAGAUUCAGAUCAAGAUGAUAAUAGUCUUUGUAUAAAUUUAUGACCUCAAAGUAAUAUUUUUAAAUAUUCCUUUAACAUGGAAGUAACUUUUUCUAAAAGCAUAAAGAAAAGCCCAGGGAAGACUUUCAUUUUCUUAUUUUGAGGCUUAUUAACUACCGUUAAGCAGUUUAAAAAUCUAUCUGCAUUUUUUCACUUGCCCUACACUUGGUUCAAAAGCAAUCAUUUGCUGCCCCCUGGCUGUAAAGAGAUUCCUUAUCUUUGAAUAAAAUUAUUUUCUUUAAAAGAAAAAAUUAUUGUAUGUUGAAAAGGNNNNNNNNNNNNNNNNNNNNNNNNUCUCUGGAAGUCCAGGAGUUAAGACUCCACUCUUCCAAUGCACAGGGUGUGGGUUCAAUCCCUGGUUGAAGAAAUAAAAUCCCAUAUACUGCACAGCACAGCCAAAAGAUUAAAAAAAGAAAAUUUAUGACCUCCCAAAUAUAUCAAGGUACUAAUUAAUACUGAUAAAGAACCUAUAUUUUUAGAUCAGACUGCUACCACGUACUAGCUGUGUGAUCUUAGUCAAAUUACUGAACCUUUCUCUGAAGUGUCCUAAUCCAUGUUAAAGAAGCUAAUGAGAAUAAUAAUGCCUACCUCNNNNNNNNNNUAACCACAACUAGAGAAAUCCUGGCAUGCACACAACGAAGACCCAGAGCAGCCAAAAAUAAAAGCAAAUAAUUUAAAAACAAUAAAUAAAUAAAUUGACAUUGCCCUCCAAUCUUGCACUCCACCAACAGCAUGAACCAAAACACCUGACUGACAUAGAGGAAAAGUUGGGACCCAGCUUUGUUAUUUUACAGUUCUACAGAUGUGUGCUCAGUUAUAUCAAGAUUGUAUAUUAAGUCCAUUUACCUUUACCCACUAAUUUGAAAUAUUAUCUUCUACAAAGGUUUCUGUCUCUAAUAAUAGCAAAGAAAAAUGUUCACUAUCAACAUAUAAAAUAAAGAAUUUAAAAUCUGAGUGUCAAAUUUUCAUCAAAGCUACCUUCUUUUCCUCCCCUCAAAUCUAGGAGUAAGCAAUUUUAUCUUGAUGCUGUGAUGUCUUAAUCUUUAAAAGGAACAUGGAGAACAAUUUAGAUAACCACAUUAUUCAUAGUCUAAUUCUGAAAACAUCACAACUAGCUGCUGCUCCCAUAAGCAUGAG